ensembl:snRNA U6 U6 spliceosomal RNA
GUGCUUGCUUUGGCAGCACAUGUACUAAAAUUGGAAUGACACAGAGAAGAUUUGCAUGACCCCCAUGGAGGGAUGACAUGCAAAUUUGUGAGGCGUUCCAUAGUUUU